rnacentral:rRNA from 1 species
CAGUAGCCGCGGUAAAACAGAGGGUGCGAGCGUUAAUCGGAUUUACUGGGCGUAAAGCGUGCGUAGGCGGCUUUUUAAGUCGGAUGUGAAAUCCCUGAGCUUAACUUAGGAAUUGCAUUCGAUACUGGGAAGCUAGAGUAUGGGAGAGGAUGGUAGAAUUCCAGGUGUAGCGGUGAAAUGCGUAGAGAUCUGGAGGAAUACCGAUGGCGAAGGCAGCCAUCUGGCCUAAUACUGACGCUGAGGUACGAAAGCAUGGGGAGCAAACAGGAUUAGAUACCCCGGUAGUCCCUGUCUCUUAUAC